AUAUCUUUCUGUACGGGAAGGAUGAGAAGCUUCGACUAAGGUUCGAUUCGAGCGCAGCGAGAAAGCGUUGCCGUAGGCAACGACCCGAAGGGC
rnacentral:sRNA from 2 species